rnacentral:rRNA from 1 species
CGGCUCGUCACAUCCUGGGGCUGGAGAAGGUCCCAAGGGUUCGGCUGUUCGCCGAUUAAAGUGGCACGCGAGCUGGGUUCAGAACGUCGUGAGACAGUUCGGUCCCUAUCUGUUGUGGGCGUUGGAAAUUUGAGAGGGCCUGACUCUAGUACGAGAGGACCGAGUCGGACGUACCUCUAGUGUACCUGUUGUGGCGCCAGCUGCAUCGCAGGGUAGCUAUGUACGGUCAAGAUAAGCGCUGAAAGCAUCUAAGCACGAAACUUGCCUCAAGAUGAGAUUUCCUUUAAGGGUCGUUGGAGACUACGACGUUGAUAGGUUGCAAGUGUAAAGUCAGUAAUGACAAAGCUGAGCAAUACUAAUUGCCCGUAGCUUUCGGUCAA